UUGUUAGGAGAAGGAUGUUCGUGGGUGCUCAGAGAGUGGGUGAUGUGUGGGAAGCCAGGUUGUUGAAGGCUGCUUGUCUUUUGGCUAAUUGGAGAAGGCUGCCAUUAAGUCAUAAUCCAUGUUUCUUUGCUUUUUAACUCUUUUCUGUUUCACAGAGGUGUGUUUCUGACAACACAGGAGUGGAUACCCCCUCAACAGAGACAGGAGACUUUGUCCAAGACAGACACUGAAGAGCAUGGAGUUGACUCAGAGUGUAUAUUCUGAAGAUGCUUGGAGAGCAAGUGAUGAAUGGACAGGCACAUUCUAAAGGUCCACUCUGAUGGAGGCUUUUUUUUUAAGAACAAUGAGGCACUGCUGCCUGGACACUGGUCUUGCAGCUGAUCAACAAACCAGUUCGUUGUCAGAGGGAGAGGAGGUCUGUGUCACUCUGCGUUUGGAAAGGAUGCACUUGGAACUGUUCUCGAGACCCGGUCUGUUAUGCCUGGCUGCGCGAGUCCUCCCCGACGUGUUUCCCAGUCCUUUGCAAACUGGUACCCGUGGAACCAUCCCUGUCGUGUUUUACAGCAAUAAGGAAUUGCCAGUAGAGUGGUAUUACUGGGCAAGCGAGCACCGGACUGUGUCCCUCCUGCACUAAUCGCUUGGGUCGUCAGCCUUCGCGGCGGCCCGAGCCUCGCCGUUUGAUCAGGAUGUCACUGAAACCCUGUCACACACGUAUUUAGGUUGUAUUUCUAUGUGGUGUUGAAUUUGAAUUUCUACAUGAAUAAUAUAAAUUAUACUUUGCGUUUGAUAAGAGACACUUGUAAUGCAAUAUGUGAAUAAUAAAUGGUGUUGAUUUUUUUUCCUACUGUUUCACA